GACGAACGCUGGCGGCGUGCUUAACACAUGCAAGUCGAACGGAAAGGCCCUGCUUUUGUGGGGUGCUCGAGUGGCGAACGGGUGAGUAACACGUGAGUAACCUGCCCUUGACUUUGGGAUAACUUCAGGAAACUGGGGCUAAUACCGGAUAGGAGCUCCUGCUGCAUGGUGGGGGUUGGAAAGUUUCGGCGGUUGGGGAUGGACUCGCGGCUUAUCAGCUUGUUGGUGGGGUAGUGGCUUACCAAGGCUUUGACGGGUAGCCGGCCUGAGAGGGUGACCGGAGCAGGGGGGAGUGAGGAGCGGGCGGGGGCGGUCCGGGGGAGAACAGUGGGGAAGGGUACAACGGGGGCGGAGGUCUAAAGCAGCUGCGCCGGGGGCGGGGUGAGGGCGUUGGGGUUGGAAACAGAAGUAGCGUGUGACGAAGCGUCAGCGGCGGUAAUAAUAAAAGAAACAACCGCUAACUAGGUG
rnacentral:rRNA from 1 species